rnacentral:rRNA from 1 species
AUCCUAAAUUUUAAUCCAACAUCGAGGUCGCAAACUUUUUUUAUCGAUUAGAACUCUCCAAAAAAAUUACGCUGUUAUCCCUAAGGUAAUUUAAUCUUAUAAUCAAAAAAUCUGGAUCAACAAAAUCAUAAAUCAAUGAUAAAACAAAAAGAAAGUUCAUUAAAUUUCUUAAUCACCCCAAUCAAAUUUAAUUUAAAAUAUUUAUAAUUAAAUUCUUUAAAAUAAAAAUUUUAAAUUAAAUUAAACUCUAUAGGGUCUUCUCGUCUUUAAAUUAAAUUUAAGCUUUUUAACUUAAAAAUAAAAUUCUAAUAAAAUUAAAUAAAGACAGUUUUUUUCUCAUCCAACCAUUCAUUCCAGUCCCUAAUUAAGAAACUAAUGAUUAUGCUACCUUUGCACAGUCAAAAUACUGCGGCCAUUAAAUAAAUCAUUGGGCAGGUUAGACCUUAAAUUAUUAACAAAAAGCC